AUUGAACGCUGGCGGCAGGCCUAACACAUGCAAGUCGAACGAGUGGCGGACGGGUGAGUAAUGUCUGGGAAACUGCCCGAUGGAGGGGGAUAACUACUGGAAACGGUAGCUAAUACCGCAUACCAUCGGAUGUGCCCAGAUGGGAUUAGCUUGUAGGUGAGGUAACGGCUCACCUAGGCGACGAUCCCUAGCUGGUCUGAGAGGAGGACCAGCCACACGGGAACUGAGACACGGCCCAGACUCCUAAGGGAGGCAGCAGUUGGGAAUAUGGCAUAAUGGGUGCAAGCCUGAUGCAGCCAUGCCGAGUGUAGGAAGAAGGCCUUCUGGUUGUAAAGUACUUUCAGCGGGGAGGCGGUACCCACAGAAGAAGCACCGGCUAACUCCGUGCCAGCAGCCGCGGUAAUAC
rnacentral:rRNA from 1 species